CACGUAGGGGCCAAGCGUUGGUCCGGAUUUAUUGGGCGUAAAGAGCUCGUAGGCGGUUGGGUAAGUCCGCUGUGAAAGUCGGGGGCUCAACCCUCGAAUGCCGGUGGAUACUGUCGGGCUAGAGUGCGGAAGAGGCGAGUGGAAUUCCUGGUGUAGCGGUGAAAUGCGCAGAGUAAUCAGGAGGAACACCGAUUGCGAAGGCAGGACUCCGCUGGGA
rnacentral:rRNA from 1 species